rnacentral:rRNA from 1 species
AUUGAACGCUGGCGGCAGGCUUAACACAUGCAAGUCGAACGAGUGGCGGACGGGUGAGUAAUGCUUGGGAAACUAGCUUAUGGAGGGGGAUAACUACGGGAAACUGUAGCUAAUACCGCGUACCCUAGGAUGAGCCCAAGAGGGAUGAGGUAGUUGGUGGGGUAAAGGCUCACCAAGCCGACGUUCUCUAGCGGGUCUGAGAGGAGGACGGGCAACACGGGAACUGUGAAACGGCCCAGACUCCUACGGGAGGCAGCGGUGGGGAAUAUUGCGCAAUGGGGGCAACCUGACACGGCAAUGCCGCGUGAUUGAAGAAGGCCUUGGGGUUUUAAAGUUCUUUCGGUAGCGAGGCGUUAACUACAGAGGAAGCACCGGCUAACUCCGUGCCAGCAGCCGCGGUAAUUC